rnacentral:rRNA from 1 species
UACAGAGGUCUCAAGCGUUGUUCGGAUUCAUUGGGCGUAAAGGGUGCGUAGGCGGUUUGGUAAGUCAGAUGUGAAAUUCCUGGGCUCAACCGAGGAACUGCAUUUGAUACUGCCAGACUAGAGUACUGGAGAGGAGACUGGAAUUCACGGUGUAGCAGUGAAAUGCGUAGAUAUCGUGAGGAAGGCCAGUGGCGAAGGCGAGUCUCUGGACAGUAACUGACGCUGAGGCACGAAGGCCAGGGGAGCAAACGGG